GCGACCGUCCCGGGCGGCGGGUGGUGACGGGACACGGGCGGGCCUGGGACCCGCUCCGGGGGGGCUGGGGAAGCCCGGCCGGCGGCGGAGUGCGGGCGCGGCGGGCCGGGCCUGCGUGGCUUCCCGCCCCGCGCACCGAUAAAUGGUUCAGCUUUUCUUCCUGUGCCUCAAAUUAUUAAGAACUAAGUACAUUCAGCAACGUGGUGCUCUCGGGGCUCAGCUCCCGCGCCGCCCCUCCCCGGGCCACUUGCUGCGUGGGCAGCCGGAGGGACUCGGGCUCAGGCCGCGCAUCGGCAGGCGCGGGGGGCCGUUUCCUGGCGGGGGGCGCGGGGCCGCAGCGCGCGCGUGGCGCUGACCGAGGCGCGGGUGGGCUGCGGCCGCUGCGGGGGCAGCGCCGGGCCCCGCUGAGGCGCCUGCCGGCGCUGAACCCUCGCCCUGCCUGGGGAAGGGUCACGCAGCCGCCUCCCCAGCUAAGCCUUUGCCCGCGGGUCGCAGCUGCCGGGGCGCGCGAGGUGCGGGAGUAGGAAAAUGGCAAUAAUAAUUUUCUCGGUUUUCAGGGUCUAAUUACAAUCCUUAAUUUUUAAUAAGGCGGCUUAUAACGUAGCUGGGGUUUCAUCACUGGCAAUUAUCUACAUGCGUAUCGUGACCUUAGAAAACAGAGAAGGAGCUCUAGCAGAAAAUACGGAGCUACCCGUUUGAAUGCUAGCUAGGCACACCUUCACUUACUUUGAAGUGCUGUGGGGGGUUAUGUUAAUUUGCAAGGAAAAACAAGUGAUUGUAAUGUAGUAAUGCAUUUUGAUAGCUAGGUAUAAAUUUAACCUGAGGAAGAAUUGUAAGUUUAUGGUGGCAGUACCCUAAUAAACCAUGCUUUUAUGGCCUUGCGUGGAAAAAACAAUGUAUCAGACUAUUACAAUAGCAGUGUAAAGGUAUAUGUGGAUAGAGGGAGAUACAAACUAUGUAUUUGGUGUCAGUAUUUCUUGAUUUUCUGAAAAUAGUCACUUUAUUGCAAAUAGCAAGUUUUUAUUGUUUUUCAUAUGGCCCUUUGGUUAUUUUGUACCGAUUGUGCCAGACCGAAAUUCAGAUCACGUGUGAAUGACAUAGGUACUAUGGAAGUUUAGCAAUUCACUGAGAGAUAAGUUUAAUAAAAUAGACUUUGCAAGUUUAUUCCUGUAUGUCUCUACUGUCUCUCAGGUCAGAUCAGUCAGAGAUGAGUUAGUAAGCAAAACUGAAAUCCUGGCUUUGAAAAUGCACAGAUGAAGGGGAGGAGAGCGCUUGUAAUUUAGAUUCAGUUCCCCGCUUUCCUUGAGAGACAGGCCGGGCAGCUUAACUAUGGGGUACUCUUAAAAUUGCACUAAUUAGCUAUGAGACCAGGAGAGCAUUUUUUCCACAAUAUUUCUUCAUGAAUGUUUAUUUGCAAUGAGGUAAACCAAGAUGUCGGUAAUAGGCUUCAUGGUUGCAAUAAAUAAAGCAUGUCGGAGCUAUUGCUUGCCAAGACUUACUUUUUUUAUGCUGUAAGCCUGGCUGCUGGGGUGCUGUCCUGUACUUGAUUUGAAUUUUUUGGUAGUAGUGAUAGGACAAGAGAAACCCUUGAAUUUAUCUUUUAAAAGAAUAAUGCUUAAAUGUCAGUGUUUCUUUCAGAUUCUCUAUGUCUUGUUUCAGGAUCUAUUUGCAAAACAAAAUAUAAAAAGAAUAUUGUAGUCCUUUAUGCUAUGAACAAACUUUAAAAAUCAACCAGAUGGAAUAAAUAACCUUGAUUUAGUGACUGUAUGCAAAUAUCAGUAGCAAACAGAAGCAGGGACUGUAUUUUCUGUUGGACAUUGAGUAAAGCGGGACACAAGAACUGGUUCAGAAAGAUAAUACAAUAUCCUGUAUUAAUUUGAAAUUGAGCACAUUCAAAUCAAAGUAUAAAAAGUAAUUUGGAUAAGAAAAACAGAUUAAUUGCAGGAAAUGUCAUCAGUGUUCCAGAGUUGUACUUAGAAAAAGGUGGAGGUUGUUUUUAAAUACAUAAGCUACUCUAGCUUUAGUCCAUUGGAGUAUUUAAGCAUAUUGCUAAUUUAAACCAGGUGACUAUGUUCAGUCUGCUUGAUGUUAAUCAUGUUCAGGUGCUCAGAUGAAAUGGCUGCUCUGAAGAGAUGCUUGCAAAUCAGCUCUUUCUAGAAUAGUAGAGAUAGUGGCUGAUUUGCAAAAAUACUUUUCUGAUGCACUUGCAGGAGAACAAGGAGAGGUGAGCUUUCUGGCAUGUGAGUCUUGAAGAAACUCAAGGUUAUGCUUUAAAUCUUUUCAAGUUUUCUGGCUAUAUCAGCUGGUCUAAUGAAAGUUAUUAGUCUUCCUUAUCUCCCUUUCUAGGAUGAGGGAACUUUAGCUGACAAGCUAAGGCAGACUGUCUUGGGAUGCCUUGUGGAUAACAACCCAAAUUCAGUACUCUGAUCUAUUCUGGGCCUGCCUAAUUUCUCAUCUGCAGUUAUAAGGAAAUUAAAUGAGGCCACAUGUAGUAAAGAAUGGAGUGGGCUACAUGACCUUACAUCUUGUCCUACGAAAGCGGGCUGAGUUAGGAUGGAGACAGAAAGGAAAAGGCGUUGGGAGAGUGGCAGACCAUUUAGAAGCUCAGGCUGCAGUUCAGCUCAACACCUGCAUUUCUUUCCUGAAGGAUCAAUUGCCAAUAGAUCGUCACUCAUCUAUUCCUUACAGCAUACAAGGUGUACAGGCUAGAGGGAAACACACAUUUAGGUCUAGAGGUGAGAAGCCAUGAACUCUACUGUAUCUCAGCACUUGUGCCAAAAAGCCCUCCUAAAAUUCCAUUUCAUACUUAGUGGUCUGACAGAGAUGUCUACCUUGGCAGAAUUUAGCUGUCUCCUUGAACAUUUGUUGUCCUAAUUUGUAUUGAUGUAAGCUGGAAGAGAUUCUUGUCCUUCGGUUACUCAGCGAAUUCUCUGGAGAUGAGCACAUCUGGAAAGUUGAAACAUAGCCUGAACAGUCUGGUCUGUGCCAGGACAACAUGCUAGCAUUUUAAGUUUUAACAGAACUUCAGUGUGCUUAAAAUAAAUAAAAAUUGCUGAUAAAUAAAUGAAUCGCUGUGCUUUUAGAAACUCCAUCUCAUGAUUGUCCCUGAAUUAUUAGCCGUAGUGCAGAAAUGCCCAUAUUCAGAUGAAUACAUAUUCUUCUGGUUCAAGAUCUCUUAGUAGGUGGAAAACCAUUUCUUUCAAUACUGCUUCAGUUCAGUACCACUGUCAACUUUUCUUUUGCUCAGAGUGUCAUGGGAUGGUUUCUUCGGUGGUUCCAGCUCAAGAACAUGUAGGAGGGUUACAACAUGUCAACUUUCUAGUUCCUUUGUUUUUGUCUUUUGGUCAGGAAGGUGUAAGAACAUCUUUAGAGUUUUACCUCACCUGAGACAUUAACUCAGCUCCAGAAAAGUUUUAAUAGGAUGAAUUAAAAACAAAACAAACACCCAACUCCUUUUUAGCUAUAUGCAUUCAAUAAAAUAAACCAAUUUUCUUCUUUGAACAAAUAUUAUACUUUAAACUUAAAUAG